rnacentral:rRNA from 1 species
UACGUAGGGCGCAAGCGUUAUCCGGAAUUAUUGGGCGUAAAGAGCUCGUAGGCGGUUUGUCGCGUCUGCCGUGAAAGUCCGGGGCUCAACUCCGGAUCUGCGGUGGGUACGGGCAGACUAGAGUGAUGUAGGGGAGACUGGAAUUCCAGGUGUAGCGGUGAAAUGCGUAGAUAUCUGGAGGAACACCGGUGGCGAAGGCGGCGUUCUGGACUGCUACUGACACUGAGGAACGAAAGCCAGGGGAGCAAACGGG